UAAUAUUCAUUUUAAACAUUCAAAAUGAUCGGGUAAAUUAAAUUUCCUUAAUGAUUUGACUGUAAAUGCAAGUUAACGUUGUGCUUCGGCUUAGAUUGGUGAUUAACAGAAAAGAAACAUCGCUUUGAAGCAAUGACACAAAAUUUUACAAGAUGUACAAAUCAUGAAGCGCAAUUGCCUAACUGGUUUCAAUUUUUGGCUUAUGCUUUCAUUCCAGUUAUUUAAAUAUUGAGUUCACUGGUUAAAUGAUGUCAUGCAAUAUGGCGGAUAGUAAGAAUUUGGAUAGUCUUGUGGUUACGGACGAAAUUUUGUCAUCAAAAAGGAUAUUAAAAAAGGUCGUAUGGUCCGUGAUUCAUGACAUAUCGUGGCCGGUUCAUGAUGUUUCUAAAGAUGUUCACAGUAUGGUGGAAAUUUUAUCUAAAGUUGAACAUUCACAAGAGCUGCUGAUGUAAAUAGACCUGUCAUUGUUAUAUGCAGGUGACUGGCAUUGUGCAUAUGUGUUGCUAUACGGGCCGAGAAGACUAGAAACCAUUAAAGAAUCUUCGUGAUCACGUGAUCUUAAGAAGAAGUGGAUUUUGUACCUUUAAAGAAUGCGGUAUUGUGCCGAUAUGUCUAUGGGUUGAUAUCAUCUCAAAAUCUCCUGUUGAGUAAUUUCUUUCAAAUCAACACUGCAGUAUUUCCUUCAUUGUCAUCGAGACAUUUAAGUUUAUACGCUAGCCAAUUGACAAUUUUUAAAAAAAGAUUUGUAUUUUAAAGAUUUGAUUAUUUCUACAUGGAGAAA